CAAGACCUUGCGCUUUUGGAGCGGCCGAUGUCUGAUUAGCUAGUUGGUGAGGUAAAGGCUUACCAAGGCGUCGAUCAGUAGCUGGUCUGAGAGGACGACCAGCCACACUGGGACUGAGACACGGCCCAGACUCCUACGGGAGGCAGCAGUGGGGAAUUUUGGACAAUGGGGGAAACCCUGAUCCAGCCAUGCCGCGUGAGUGAAGAAGGCCUUCGGGUUGUAAAGCUCUUUCAGCCGGAACGAAACGGUCACGGCUAACACCUGUGACCACUGACGGUACCGGAAGAAGAAGCACCGGCUAACUACGUGCCAGCAGCCGCGGUAAUACGUAGGGUGCAAGCGUUAAUCGGAAUUACUGGGCGUAAAGCGUGCGUAGGCGGUUUUGUAAGUCAGAUGUGAAAUCCCCGGGCUUAACCUGGGAACU
rnacentral:rRNA from 1 species